rnacentral:rRNA from 1 species
AGAGUUUGAUCCUGGCUCAGGGUUAACGCUGGCGGCGUGCCUAAGACAUGCAAGUCGAACGGAGAAUUAGCAAUAGUUCUUAGUGGCGAAUGGGUGAGUAACGCGUUGGUGACCUGCCCCAAAGUGAGGGAUAACAACUCGAAAGGGUUGCUAAUACCCCAUGUAGUUUUCGGAAUUAGAAACCGAUUUCCAAAGGAGUAAUCCGCUUUGGGAGGGGCCUGCGUCCCAUCAGCUAGUUGGUAGGGUAAUGGCCUACCAAGGCGAUGACGGGUAGGGGGCCUGAGAGGGUGGCCCCCCACAUUGGCACUGAAACACGGGCCAAACACCUACGGGUGGCAGCAGUCGGGAAUAUUGGUCAAUGGACGAAAGUCUGAACCAGCAACGCCGCGUGUGCGAUGAAGGUCUUCGGAUCGUAAAGCACUUUUCGGGGAGAUGAGGAAGGACAGUAUCCCCGGAAUAAGGAUCGGCUAACUACGUGCCAGCAGCCGCGGUAAAACGUAGGAUCCGAGCGUUAUCCGAAUUUACUGGGCGUAAAGCGCGUGCAGGCGGUUUGGUAAGUUGGAUGUGAAAGCUCCUGGCUCAACUGGGAGAUGCCGUUCAAAACUGCCAGACUAGAGGAUGGUAGAGGGAGGUGGAAUUCCGGGUGUAGUGG